UAAAAUCCUGUGAAGGAGAAAAGUAUAGCUGGAUCCAGUUUUUCAGGGAGAAGGCGCCGAGACUGGGAGCGCCUUUAGGAUAUGGACAGCUGAAGUUCACUCCGGAGGAGCAGGCUGAAAACCUGGAUGGCAAGUAGGCUAAGCCGCAUUUCCUGCGUUAGAGGGAAGGGGUAUCGGAAUAUUAUCCCCACACCGGAUAGAUAUUCCCGUACUUUUUAAGUGAGUGGGCUGUAUUUUUAUAUGCAGCCAAUCAGGGUGGUACCGCGAAGCUCGUAGAUUUCGUCCCUGGG
rnacentral:ncRNA from 1 species